GUGGCUCAGUUGGAUAGCGCGUCAGACUCCGACUCUGAAGGUCGCAGGUUCGAAUCCUGUC
rnacentral:tRNA from 1 species